rnacentral:rRNA from 1 species
UGGGGAAUCUUGCACAAUGGGGGCAACCCUGAUGCAGCGACGCCGCGUGAGCGAUGAAGCCCUUCGGGGCGUAAAGCUCUUUCGACCGGAACGAUAAUGACGGUACCGGGAGAAGAAGCUGCGGCUAACUCCGUGCCAGCAGCCGCGGUAAUACGGGGGGUGCAAGCGUUACUCGGAAUCACUGGGCGUAAAGGGAGCGUAGGCGUUUUAUUAAGUCUUGAGUGAAAGCUCGCAGCUCAACUGCGGAACUGCUCAGGAAACUGAUAGAAUUGAGAAUGGAAGAUGUAGGUGGAAUUUCCGGUGUAGGGGUAAAAUCCGUAGAUAUCGGAAGGAAUACCGGAAGCGAAGGCGACCUACUGGGACAUUACUGACGCUGAGGCGCGAAAGCGCGGGGAGCAAACA